UACGGAGGGUGCAAGCGUUAAUCGGAAUUACUGGGCGUAAAGCGUGCGCAGGCGGUUUGUUAAGUCCGUUGUGAAAGCCCCGAGCUCAACUUGGGAAUUGCAGUGGAUACUGGCAGGCUGGAGUACGGUAGAGGAAGGUGGAAUUCCCGGUGUAGCAGUGAAAUGCGUAGAUAUCGGGAGGAACACCAGUGGCGAAGGCGGCUUCCUGGUCCGACACCGACGUUCAGGCACGAAAGCGUGGGGAGCAAACAGG
rnacentral:rRNA from 1 species